GCUCCGGUGGCCUAUGUGGUUUGAACGUCCGCCUCGGAUGCGGGAGGUCGCUGGUUCGAACCCAGAUCGAGCCA